UGAUCCAGACUUUGAUCCUGGCUCAGGAUAAACGCUGGCGGCGCACAUAAGACAUGCAAGUCGAACGGAAGUCGUUAUAAAAGGAGAGAAGAUUUGUCGGAUUGAAUUUUAUAACAAUGGCUUUAGUGGCGGACUGGUGAGUAACGCGUAAGGAACCUACCUAUUAGAGGGGAACAACAAUGAGAAAUCAUUGCUAAUACCGCAUAUGCCAUAACUACCGCAUGGUAGAAGUGGGAAAGGAGUAAUCCACUGAUAGAUGGCCUUGCGUCUGAUUAGUUAGUUGGUGGGGUAACGGCCUACCAAGACGACGAUCAGUAGCCGGACUGAGAGGUUGAACGGCCACAUUGGGACUGAGAUACGGCCCAGACUCCUACGGGAGGCAGCAGUCGGGAAUAUUGCGCAAUGGAGGAAACUCUGACGCAGUGACGCCGCGUGCAGGAAGAAGGUUUUCGGAUUGUAAACUGCUUUAGACAGGGAAGAGAAAGGACAGUACCUGUAGAAUAAGCUCCGGCUAACUACGUGCCAGCAGCCGCGGUAAUACGUAGGGAGCGAGCGUUAUCCGGAUUUAUUGGGUGUAAAGGGUGUGUAGACGGGAAUACAAGUUAGUUGUGAAAUACCUCGGCUUAACUGAGGAACUGCAACUAAAACUAUAUUUCUUGAGUACAGGAGAGGUAAGUGGAAUUCCUAGUGUAGCGGUGAAAUGCGUAGAUAUUAGGAGGAACACCAGUGGCGAAGGCGACUUACUGGACUGAAACUGACGUUGAGGCACGAAAGUGUGGGGAGCAAACAGGAUUAGAUACCCUGGUAGUCCACACCGUAAACGAUGGAUACUAGGUGUAGGAGAUAUUAAGUCUUCUGUGCCGUCGCAAACGCAGUAAGUAUCCCACCUGGGGAGUACGGCCGCAAGGUUGCAACUCAAAUGAAUUGACGGA
rnacentral:rRNA from 1 species